GGCGCACACUUCCUGUUGUGGUUAUCAUGGAGACCUCUGGAGCCGUCAGGUCGGACUCGGUGACAUGGGCUACCUGUCAUUUGGCGCCGGGUUGACUUUUCUUAUGACGUCUACGCCUCUUUUGAAGGGAGUUGUAGCGUCCCGGAGUCCACACGUUUAAAAGGAUGCAGAUCCCUAUUGAAUCUUAGCUCGCCACUCAGUGUGCCUCUAUGAAUUUAAGUGAGUUCAGUUACUGCAUUAUGUCCCUAUGCCAGAAAGAAGGAGGAAGGGUGAGGAAGAAGAAGAAGAACAACAACAACAACAACAACAACAACAACUACUUUGAUAACUUAAGGAAUGGAGAAAAGAAAACUAAAACGGUUGUUUCACUAUUUAGCCAAAGUUCACACAGGUUUAAAAGUUCAACAGUGGUAUUGGAUAAAACCAUCACAUGCCCAAUGAACCAUUUACUCUCACUUUGCCUCUGACUUUUACAAGCUCCAAGUUAUUUGAGUAGCAUCUAUGUUGUUGUUAAUGCUUAAACUAGAUAUUCCACAUCCUGAUUUCUUAGAGGUUGUUUUAAGACUCAAUGAAUCUGUUUUAUGUACAUUUUGAACAAGAACAUCCUGCUGAUACACUCUAUCCAGUCUCUUCAUCAAGCUCAACCCUUUAUGAACACUUGAAGAAAGGCAGAUGAUACCACGAAAACCAAGAUCAAAUAAGCAAAAACAGUUAUCAAGAGGAAAGGUGUAGUCAUCACUGUGACUCAUGCUCAUGAUUCUAACACUCGGGUGACUGGGGCAGGAAGAUCAUGGGUGGGAACCCAUCCUUAGCUACAUAAUGUGUUUGAGGAGAGCCUGGGCUAGAUAGUGAAACCCUGUCUCAGAAAACAAGUGUAAAGGCUGCGGACUGUAUUGCACAUUUUAUUCCUAACACUUAGGAAACAGAGAGAGAGGAUCUCUGUGAGUUCCAGGACAACCAGAGCUACAUAAGGAGACCCUGUCUUAAAAACAAAACACAACAACUGCAGAUCAAACAGAAUAAUGGAUUAGGUCAACUGGGCCUUGAACUAGAAAUGCUGAUUGCAGUUCAGAAAAUACCUAAAUAAUUCCAUCCAAAGAUUAGUCUCAUCCAACUUGAUGGAGAUGUAUUUACAUUAAGAGAAAUCAAAGUUACAUGAUGUAUCCAGGUUAGCGCCAGAACUGUUUGUGAUGGCCACCUUUACAAUGCGACAAGGUUGCUAAGAUGUGACUGUGAUCUUACUUUGUUUCACAAUAGUCUCUUGUUUUGUUUCAAAUUUAAUGUGCUCCUUUUACUUAUCUGUCACUUGUGUUUAAACAAAGAAAUUGGUGAUGAGGUAGGCAGGAAAAUCUGCAUCUACCCAGAUCACUGGUUACAAUACAGUCUUCACUGUCUUUACAAAUACUAAAAUUCUUUCCAACUCAGGAGGGAAAGAAACCCAGAAGAUCCGUAUCCACAGCUUAGCAGUUUUGUAUUUAAAAUUAAUAAUUAAGCUUCAGUAACUGUACCACCUAAAACUUUUACCUCACUGUCAGUAUAAAAAUACCAAAUAAAAUGAAAACUGUUUUGUGAUUG
ensembl:processed_transcript